UUAAUUACUUAUUCCUCAUAAUUGCAUUCAUUUAAAAAUAUGCUUUAAUGCUCAGACUUGUCUGAACUUCAUCCUCACUCCACCUGGACUUCAUCCUGUUAUACAUCUGACCAGCACAUAUUCAACAAGUGUUAUUAUAUACCAAAGCAAAGGGGAAUGCAAAAUUGCUGCUUUACAACAUUGCAGGUGAUUAAAUGAACCCUAAAAUGAAGACAAUCUCUUAUCUUCUUCUUAUAAAGACAAAAUCCCUUGAACUAACACAAUUCAAUUAAACAACAAUAAGAAAAUGUGAAGGUACUGUAAAUAAGUUAAUCCAUUAACAUAAAUUAUUAUAUGACUAAACUGAGUAAUUAAAUAAUUUAAUAUUAUUAAAUUAAUUAAAAAAGAAAAAGAAAAAAAACAGAUCAGAGUCAUUCACAUCACAGAUAGGUUGCUGAGAUCCUUAGAUACUUCAUUCUAAAGUUGCAAUGUUAUAUGGGUCUUGACUGUAUUUAAGCUUCCUACUGGUAACAGCUGUGUAUUAUAUGAUAAACUGAGUAUUAAAUAAUUUAAUAUAUUAAAUAUUAAAAAGAAAGAAAAAAACAGAUCAGAGUCAUUCACAUCACAGAUAGGUUGCUGAGAAUCCUUAGAUACUUCAUUCUAAAGUUUGCAAUGUUAUAAUGGGUCUUGACUGAUUUUAAGCUUCCUACUGGUAACAGCUGUGACCAAAAAUAAAUCUCAUGCUUUCACUAACUAAAAAAUAAUGGAUAUAAUAAUAUAUUCACUUACAGUAGCUGGAAAAAUGGCAUUAAAUGGAUUAAGUGUUGUUUCAGUUUGGGAAUAACAUAAUGGGACAUUUCUCAUCAUGUUGAAAUAUGUGGCUAUACAUUUUAUUUUUAUUUUUAUACAACUAUAAAACCUUUUAUUGAUUAAUAUUCAUCAAUGUGAACUAGUAGUAUAAUUUCCCCUUUGCAUACAACAAAUGAAUAUUUAACUCAGUUAGUUUAAAGAAAUGUCAAUUUUAUUACAUGAACUGUAAACUACACAAAUAUCCAAUAUUUUACAAUGUUUGCAA
rnacentral:lncRNA from 1 species